ensembl:lncRNA
GGAAUAAGCUGAAUUCUGACCUUGUGUAUUUAGCAGAUAUAAGCUGACAAAGGACUACUUUAUUUAUAGUCCCAAACUUUUGUUUAAAGAUCCAUAUGCACUUGGUUUUUAGAUCCAUGAACAUGGGAAAACUGCAAUUCAUGCAUAUUCUUUCACACAUCUGUUGAGCUUUUUGUGGACAGAGGAAAAUCUGUCUCAUCAGAGGCCUCCAAGACACAUUCCAGAAAAACAGGAGUGGUAACAGCAUUAGGAAAAUAUACUCAGUGUGUCACAAGAGCACAGAGAAGAAUCGCCUCCUAUUGCUAUAGUGGCUGCCAAGUCCAUGCCAUUCAAGAUAUAUCUUUCAUGCUAACAUUGUCUGCUUCAAAGGGGGUUUGCUCAGCCAAAGUAGAGUUAAUUUUAUUUGCCCACUGAGGCUCAGGCCAGUUCUUCAGCAUUUAGUACUAUGUGUGACCUCUCACGAAAGACCAAACAGGAAAGGGUUUUGCAGUAUGCUCAGCAGAACAGUAGAGACGUGCAGAACUCCAUGCUCUGCCCAGUCAUUCCACCACUCCUCUGGAAUAUACUUCCAGACGUGCAGUUUUUAAUCACGAAGAGAGAACUGGUCAACCUCAAAGGAAACGGAACAGAAAACUAAAACUGAAAGCAAAACCAUUUUGUAAUGCUGGUACGUUUUAAAGAAAAUGCAGGAAGCACAGAAUUGAGCCCACUGGCAAACUUGAUCCACUCAAGCAGCCUGAUAUUAGUCCUUUGAAUAAAUCCAGCAGGUUUUCACACAGCGAUUGUCUGAGCAGAGUGGCCCAUCUUCCUCAUCCCACAAUACAUCUGCUGCUUCGUGGAAACACACCAGUGAAAACCACCAACAGUAGACCAAUUUGCAAACUGCUCCCUAGCUUCCUCAUCCAAAAUUGCAAACAACCAUGUCCUACACAAGGAUGUACGUGUGUGUGUGUGUGUGUGUGUGUGUGUGUGUGUGUGUGUGUGUGUGUGUGUGUAAGAGCAAACAGAGCUGUAAAUAGAGAUUGCUCUUUACUCUGUAAGUAUUGAUCCAUCUGUUCAAUACGAUUACCUCGAUAGACAUUGCAAAGCACGCCACUAAUCCCUUUCCUAAAUACUGGUCUUCAUUACAGGAAAGAGCAGAACUCAGCAGCAAAGAGAAUGUGUUGCUUAAAAUGGGAGCUAGAAGUAAUCCCUCGGGCAAUAGGUAGGGAGCCAUGCUUCCUCUCAUCUCACAGAGCUUCCCAGCUCAAUGUCAUGGUGUGCACAACUGUCCUGAGCCACACAGCCUGUGCUGGACAAACCUGAGACAGCCCAGAAGGUCAGAGGUUUCCCAGGUUCGAGGGACUGUAUGUGAGGAUUACCUCACUGGUGACAGAAUGUGCUUGGUACCCAGCUAACCGACAAAUCUAAUCAAAAGCCAGAUAAUAAUGCUUCUGUAUGCAGAGACGGGGAAAGCCUACCGGGAUGGAAGCUUUUGUCUGUGAUGCCUCUAAAGGUCGUGUAUCUGAACCUGCCCAAAAUCAAAUGGUAAAUGGAAAUACACAUUGCUUUUGUCUCCUGAAGGAAAGCAUGGCAUUGUGGUGGUCCCUUUUGAUGUCUGAAUUUCUGGGCUUUUCAUACCUAUCCCUUUAGGCUUAUCUUCUAAAACAUAUAUGUGUGUGUGUGUGUGUGUGUGUGUGUGUGUGUGUGUGUGCGUGCGUGCGUGCGUGUGUGUGUGUGUGUGUGUGUGUAUAAAGUAUUCAAUUUCUGUGUUAGAAUAAGUGAAAGAACUCAGUUUCAGAAUUACCAACUAUAUAUUUCCAUUUAUGUGACAUUUUGGGAAAGGCAGAAAAUACAGGAAUAGCCAAUGGAUAAGAGGUCCUUAGGGUUAAGAAGAAAAGAGGUUGUGAAUCCAUGGGUGGUUAGAAGGUAUUAGGACAUUAACACUUAUUUCUUGGCUACCCUGAGUGGCUGUAAGAAUCUAUGUGGGUAUACACACAGAACUUAUAUAGCCUCUGCAAACCAAAUUUUACUGUGAAGGAAAAUGUCAAAUUGACUUAAAUAUCAUGUGCUUCUAUCUGUGCCAGUGUGUCAGCAGGAAUCGGGUGGUGGCGCAUCCCACCUCCAGUCUACAUCAGUACCACCAUGGCAUCAUCAUGUCAGCAUCAUUAGCAUGAUGUCAGCAUCAUUAGCAUGUUAGUGCAGCCUUAUUUCUGGCAUUAGUACAGUGGUGUUACAUCUGGGUCCACUAGGCUCUCCAAUGCCUCAUAUCUAAGAAAUAGAGUUCAAAUGAUAUACUUCCAGGUCAGUUAGGCUCUCAAUACCUCAUAUCUUAGAGCUCAAAUGGUGUAUUUCCGGGUCAGCUACGCUCUCCAAUGCCUCAUCUAAGAAACAGAGCUUAAAUGGUGUACUUCUGGGUCAGCUAGGCUCUCAAUGCCACAUACCUAAAACACGGAGUUCAAACUGAAGUAAUCUGCCAUUGCCAUGAAGUUUUCACUGUUUCCAUCUUCCUGGCUUCUGUUUCGUUUCUCCAGGUUCAGGAGCCACUGUUUUUAAAUUUAUAACUAAACAUAAUUAAAAGUAAGACAUUUUUACUUUGUUUUACCAAAAGCUAUAACUCACCAUACAUUCUCCUCUUUUUUCCCCCCUUCAUUUUUCUUUCUUCAAAAGGAAUGGUUUCUCAGCAUGCACAAGGCAGGAGUUCAAUUCUCAACCUAAUAAAGAAAGAGGAGGGGGGUUGGGGAUUUAGCUCAGUGGCAGAGCGCUUGCCUAGCAAGUGCAAGGCCCUGGGUUCGGUCCCUAGCUCCGGAAAAAAAAAGAAAGAAAGAAAAGAAAGAAAGAAAGAGGAGGAAGAACACAGGAGAACGGAGGAGUUGUGGUUUUGAGACGCGCUUUGGGUAGGAAACCUCAAGACACCCGAAGGUCAAGUUCUCAGAACAAAGAUUUAUCUACACAUGAGGGAUGUACACAGGAGGGAUAAAGGGCACAAAAUAAGAUAAAAAAACAGGAGACCAAGGAUGAGGGGAGAUAUGAAGAAAAGGGAAAGGAGGCCCAGAUAUUUAUCCUGGAGGGACAAGACUGCCUCUGGAGAGAGAGGAGACAGACCCAUAAGCAAAUGGCAAUUUAUAAAGCUUACCUCAAGAACGGCAGCACAGACCCCUUCUCUUCUAGAUGGAAAUGAAGCAGAGACCUUGCCACUGUCACAUUUCCCAAAGGGUGCCUGGUCCCAGGAGAGUUAAAUACACCCAACCUAGUGUCCAGCAUCCUCCUGACCCGCAGAUGCGGUGCUACGGCUGUGGGUGGAGAGUGAAGAAGGAAGUCUGGCCUUUCAACCCUGCUGUCGCCUCUGUACCUCCUCCACUCUUCACCCUGUCAGCCGGGAGAGACAUGGGGACUGUGGCUGGGUAUGCUUUUAGGUGUUGAUAUUGUUCGGUCUCCAAAAUUCUGUAGAAGAGGAGGAGGGGAGGGAGAGGAGAAGGCAUAAGAAUAGAGGAGGAAGAGAAAAGAAAAGAAGGA